UAAUAAAUCACCUGUUUACUGCAGCUGAGUAAAAAUUUUCAUGUCUGCAUAUAACAGGCACAGAAUUCAUCUAUCAAAGAUGUCCAUAUUGGAAAUGGCACAGUCCAUAGCUGAGGGGAGGAUUAUUUACUUCCCUGUCUCUCCACCUCCGAGUGUACAAGUAACACAUUUUAAACACAUAUGCACAGUGUCAGAUGUGUGAUUGCUGUGGCUGAAAGCUGACUAGCUAUAAACCAGCCUCAGUUUGCAAGAGUUGCUAAGGAGCACAGCACUUGUUCCUGGGCUAACAGCUCCUGAGCUUGGGUUUAGUGCCAUGGCACUGUAGCUCUCCAGUUCUGCAUGCAGAAGAGUAGACAUGUCCAUCUCUGUGUCUGCCCAGCUACUUGUGUGCUUAAAUAAUUUCCUACUAGAAAUGCUGAUAACAUUUUUCUGCCUCUGCCUGCUACCAUAUCACACAUUUUGCUUCGAUCCUGCACCCAGGCAGGCUGCUUUCUCAGCAGGGAAGCCUCACAGCUCCACUGUACACACGGAGUAAUGAUGGUUUGGGUGGAAUGUGCAAGAAGGAGAUAUUCUCUGCAGUGGGAGCAGGGAAGUAUUUUAUUCAAGGCACUGGUCAUUUAUGGGUCAGUUUCUUGAAUGAACUCAGUAAGUGAGCAGCAAACAGGAAUUCCAGAGAGUGUUUAAUUGGGGUGCGAGCAAUUUGUGCGGAGACACAUAUGCAUAGGGGAAAAAAAGACUUUUAAAAUUCUUGUAGACGAGAAGACAGACAGCUUUCUCAAUUUUGCUCACGGCAAGAGCAGCAGAGACAGACUCCUCCCAUCGCCUGGGCUCAGCAGCGUAACCCAAAGGGGCCGUGGGAGGGGCUGCGCAUCCCCAGGUGCGCCUCGCCCAGCAGCGGGCACAGACCCUCUGCUGCUGCUGCUGCUGACCCGGGAACUGGCUUGGUGCUUCUUGCACCCAGCUUAAAAACGAAGGGACUUGACUGUCAAGCACUCUUCACUGAAGAGAAUUCAUCAUUCUACAGGCUUUGAGCAAUAGAAAAUAACAAAGGGCUGAGAAAUUCCCGGCAGCAGUAGUCACUGUUAGUCAGGAUAUCCCAGCGGUGCUCUCUCCUCCCCGGGCUGGAACAAUGGGCCCUGUGAUGCAUUGUGGAUCCCGACUCCUCUGCUUCAGGUCUGCCCCUUGGAACAGUCGCUGGAUCCACAGCUCCCCACCUGAGGAUAAAGUGGGACUGCUGGAGACAAUCAUUGGAUUUUCAGCAGCUUCACUGGCAAUUCUUGGACCAGCUGGGUGGUUCUUGUGCCACCUUUCAAGCUAUAAAAAGAAAUAGAAAACAUACCUUCAAGAUGAAGAUAUAAAGGCUACAAUAAACUGUGAUACUCCAAACUUGGUCUCUCUUGAAAGUCCCUGUUCCCAUACUGUCACUCAUCCCAUGGGCCAGGUCCCAGAAAGCUUUUGCAGGUACUGUAGAACUGGACCCAGAUGUACAAUGGUGUAAGGAUACAAAAUAGUGCAGCUCUGCUCUGCCAUCACUGCUGCAUGGACCAGUCUGGAUCUGCCAUCAGGUACUGUGAGAAGUGGAAGAUCAAUGAGGAGGACUGUAAACAUGCUCAAGUGACUUGCAGUUUGGCUGUUGAAAAACACAUAUAUCAUACUGAUUGUUGUCUGACCUUGUGUUUUGGACAAGUAGAACGUCUGUGUCCAGGAAACGUAGACCUUUGGUAGACUUAGAGGCACCCUAUCAAACAUGCUUGAGAAUCCUGCCCUCCUGUGGGCAAGAUUAAAGCACAGUGGUAAAUUAUACUUGUGUGAAUCCCUGAAAUACAGGAAAAAGCAGCAGGUUGGGUGAUCCUCCACCAUGGACCACGUUUUGCAGUGCCUGUGUUCCCAUUUGUGUGCCUCUCCUGUCCACUGCUUUGGUGAUCCCUGGUUGGUGAGGUGACAAAAAUGAGUUUGCUCUUUGCCUUUGAUCUAUGGUUUUGUUGGAUGCAUUGUUGGAUGCAGAAAGGAUGCAUUGUUCCUGCAUCCUGUCUGCACAUACAGGUACCAUGAAAAGUUUAAAGUAAAUAAAUGGGAAAAUAUACAGAGAAAAAAAUUUAUAGUCAUCUCAUACUAAAUCUCAGAGAAUUUAGGACUAAUUUCUUGAGAGUUUCUCUUUACAUGUGUUCUUUUGAUGUGUUUCUCUUCCACCAGGAUAAAUGUUUUUCUGCAGGUCAUGAUUGUCAGGUAUUUCAAUUUAUUUUCAGUUUUUAUAUUAGAUUAAGAUUUUUGAGAGAUUUUCCCCUUAUUGCUAUUUGCAAUUACUGUGAUAAAUACUUUGAAGUCUAGAUUAAAUUUGAGAAAAGUGCAGUAAAUAACACUCAUUAUGCCACAUUGUAUGUGUAAUAAAAGAAUGUCUUCUAAUAAUUUCAAGUCUGUUCUUGCAAGAAAAUACAGAUUAUGAACCUUUUUUGAUGCUUAAGUAUUAGCAGAAUAUAAUUUAAAAUUCCAUUAAGUAAUUUGUAAUAUCUAAUGUGAAAACAGAUUAUGAAAGUAGGGCUGUGAAUGUGUGAAAGUGUUGUACUUGCUGUACUUCUAAAGUAUGAUUUUCAGAUAAAUGGUCUGAGUUCCCUUCAGCCUUGUAACCAUGACUGAAGGUUUCAGAUUGAGAAUGGAAACAUUUAUCCUGAGUGUUUAAAGAAAGUCAUACUCACUUAUUUUUUUCCAAGAAAUUAUAGCUUUGUCACUUAGUUGAACAGUCUGAUAUGAAAGCCCACUUGUGUAUGUGGAAAGUUUCCCACAGAUUUGAAUGAGUGUUGGAUAUGUGCCUGCAUUCCUGGAAUUCAGAGAAAACGCAAUGCCAGUAACUGAAAGGCACUUGGACAAGCAAUCUGAAGUUUUGCUCCUGCACACUGUCAGUGCAUCCUUUGGAAUAAUAAGGCAAUUUUGCAGAAUCUUUUGUAAAAAUCAGCUUUGAACAUUUCAGUGUAUCUGCUUGUCCUGUAUCUGAUUUCAUUAUCCUUCUCUCACCUAGUAAUGUUUAAAUAAAUCAGUAAGAUAUUA